UUCCGGUUGAUCCUGCCGGAGGUUACUGCUAUCGGUAUUCGACUAAGCCAUGCGAGUUAAAUGUUCUUCGUGAACAUAGCGAACUGCUCAGUAACACGUGGAUAACCUGCCCUUAGGUUCGGCAUAACUCCGGGAAACUGGAGAUAAUUCCGAAUAAACCAUUCAUGCUGGAAUGCUUUUUGGUUCAAAGACCUCGGUUGCCUAAGGAUGGAUCUGCGGUCUAUCAGGUAGUAGUGGGUGUAAGGUACCUACUAGCCUACGACGGAUAUGGGUUGUGAGAGCAAGAGCCCAGAGAUGGAUUCUGAGACAUGAAUCCAGGCCCUACGGGGCGCAGCAGGCGCGAAAACUUUACAAUGCGGGAAACCGCGAUAAGGGGAUACCGAGUGCCAGCAUAUUAUGUUGGCUGUCCACAUGUGUAAACGGCAUGUGUUAGCAAGGGCCGGGCAAGACCGGUGCCAGCCGCCGCGGUAACACCGGCGGCCCGAGUGGUAAUCAUUUUUAUUGGGUCUAAAGGUCCGUAGCCGGUUUGAUCAGUUCUUCGGGAAAUCUGACAGCUCAACUGUUAGGCUUCCGGGGAAUACUGUCAGACUUGGGACCGGGAGAGGUAAGAGGUACUACAGGGGUAGGAGUGAAAUCUUGUAAUCCCUGUGGGACCACCAGUGGCGAAGGCGUCUUACCAGAACGGGUCCGACGGUGAGGGACGAAAGCUGGGGGCACGAACCGGAUUAGAUACCCGGGUAGUCCCAGCCGUAAACGAUGUUCGCUAAGGUGUCAGGGACGGUGCGACCGUUUCUGGUGCCGUAGGGAAGCCGUGAAGCGAACCACCUGGGAAGUACGGCCGCAAGGCUGAAACUUAAAGGAAUUGGCGGGGGAGCACUACAACGGGUGGAGCCUGCGGUUUAAUUGGAUUCAACGCCGGA
rnacentral:rRNA from 1 species